rnacentral:tRNA from 1 species
AUUUAAAUAGUUUAAUAAAAAUAUUGAUUUGUGGAAUCAAAGAUAUAAUUGUUAUUUUAAAUU